CGAUCAGUGCGGAAAAUGUUUCAGCUCGUACCAAUCGAGAUGGGAUCAUGUACAAUGUGAACAUAAAAAGGAGUAUGUGUGUGAUCAGUGCGGAAAAUGCUUUAGAUUCAAAAGCUAUUUAAGAAAACACAUUUUGAGGCAUUUGCCAGUGGAGGCUCGCAAGUAUCAAUGAGACAUGCCAGAAGAAGUUUGUAAAGAACUUUUAUAUUACUGUUCACAAACGUAUUUAUAGUAGAGUACAGCCUUAUAAAUGCGACAUAUGCUCGUUCAGUUUCAAGUAAUUGAGCAACAUGAAACAGCAUGGAAAACAGCACUUUAUGAAAAAAGACGAACAUACAAGAAAUAUAUUAACCAAAAAUUAGAUUCGAGAAACUACUUGAAUAAGGUCUUAUGCUAAAAAUAAUAAGUAAAUUAUUAAUAUAUAUGAAAAGAGCAAAAUACCGAUUAUGUUUCAUGAUGUAAUUCCAUUGUAAUUCAAUUGAAUAUGUAGGUAGUU